rnacentral:rRNA from 1 species
CCUACGGGUGGCUGCAGUGGGGAAUAUUGGACAAUGGGCGCAAGCCUGACCCAGCAACGCCGCGUGAGGGAAGAAGUCUUUCGGGUUGUAAACUUCUUUUCUGAGGGACGAAAAAAGUGACGGUACCUCAAGAAUAAGCCGCGGCUAACUACGUGCCAGCAGCCGCGGUAAUACGUAGGUGGAAAGCUUUAUCCGGAUUUAUUGGGUGUAAAGGGCGUGUAGGGGGGAAAGCAAGUCAGAUGUGAAAACUCAGGGCUCAACCCUGAGCCUGCAUUUGAAACUGUUUUGCUUGAGUGCUGGAGAGGCAAUCGGAAUUCCGGGUGUAGCGGUGAAAUGCGUAGAUAUACGGAGGAACACCAGUGGCGAAGGCGGAUUGCUGGACAGUAACUGACGCUGAGGCGCGAAAGCGUGGGGAGCAAACAGGAUUAGAUACCCUGUAGUC